rnacentral:sRNA from 1 species
AUAUUGACGACUCAAUGAUUUUAAACUACCGGCCUUUGACAGGCCGACACAGGAUACCUGAUAGUGGGUAUCGAAGACAAAAUGUUUUGAACGUUGUCCCUCGCAGUUGUUGUUUUGCACAAAUUUUUUAAAUUUUAUAUGUGAAAUUGAGGUAGG